UACGUAGGUGGCGAGCGUUGUCCGGAAUUACUGGGUGUAAAGCGCGUGUAGGCGGGAGGCCAAGUCUGUGGUGAAAUCGCUCGGCUUAACUGGGCGGGGUCCAUGGAAACUGGUCACCUGGAGGUCGGUAGAGGCAAGUGGAAUUCCCGGUGUAGUGGUGAAAUGCGUAGAGAUCGGGAGGAACACCAGUGGCGAAGGCGGCUUGCUGGGCCGGACCUGACGCUGAGACGCGAAAGCGUGGGGAGCAAACAGG
rnacentral:rRNA from 1 species